AUUCAUGGUGGUCGUGCGUGGGAGACCUUCGGGUCUGCCGGGUGCCAACUUGCCCGGUCCGCGAACCCGCGCACGGCUGCCACCCAC
rnacentral:antisense_RNA from 1 species